UACCAGCUCCCGAGUGGUUGGGACGAUUACUUGGUCUAAAGCGUCCGUAGCCUGUUGGAGGAGUUCUCCGUUAAAUCCAAUGAUUCAAUCAUUGGGCUGCGGAAAUUACUCUCCAGCUUGGGGGCGGAGGAUGUCGACGGUAGUCCUGGGGUAGGGGCGAAAUCCUAUAAUCCCAGGAGGACCACCAGUGGCGAAGGCGGUCGACAAAUACGCGCCCGACGGUGAGGGACGAAAGCUGGGGGAGCGAACGGGAUUAGAUACCCCGGUAGUCCCAGCUGUAAACGAUGCAGGCUAGGUGUUAGGAUGGCUACGGGCCGUUCUAGUGCCGCAGGGAAGCCGUUAAGUCUGCCACCUGGGAAGUACGGUCGCAAGGCUGAAACUUAAAGGAAUUGGCGGGGAGCACCACAAGGGGUGAAGCCUGCGGCUU
rnacentral:rRNA from 1 species